CCUACGGGGGGCUGCAGUGGGGAAUAUUGGACAAUGGGGGGAACCCUGAUCCAGCCAUGCCGCGUGUGUGAAGAAGGCCUUUUGGUUGUAAAGCACUUUAAGUGGGGAGGAGGCUUACCUGGUUAAUACCUGGGCUAAGUGGACGUUACCCACAGAAUAAGCACCGGCUAACUCUGUGCCAGCAGCCGCGGUAAUACAGAGGGUGCGAGCGUUAAUCGGAUUUACUGGGCGUAAAGCGCGCGUAGGUGGUUAAUUAAGUCAAAUGUGAAAUCCCC
rnacentral:rRNA from 1 species